AAAUUGAAGAGUUUGAUCAUGGCUCAGAUUGAACGCUGGCGGCAGGCCUAACACAUGCAAGUCGGACGGUAGCACAGAGAGCUUGCUCUCGGGUGACGAGUGGCGGACGGGUGAGUAAUGUCUGGGGAUCUGCCCGAUAGAGGGGGAUAACCACUGGAAACGGUGGCUAAUACCGCAUAACGUCGCAAGACCAAAGAGGGGGACCUUCGGGCCUCUCACUAUCGGAUGAACCCAGAUGGGAUUAGCUAGUAGGCGGGGUAAUGGCCCACCUAGGCGACGAUCCCUAGCUGGUCUGAGAGGAUGACCAGCCACACUGGAACUGAGACACGGUCCAGACUCCUACGGGAGGCAGCAGUGGGGAAUAUUGCACAAUGGGCGCAAGCCUGAUGCAGCCAUGCCGCGUGUAUGAAGAAGGCCUUCGGGUUGUAAAGUACUUUCAGCGGGGAGGAAGGCGACGGGGUUAAUAACUCUGUCGAUUGACGUUACCCGCAGAAGAAGCACCGGCUAACUCCGUGCCAGCAGCCGCGGUAAUACGGAGGGUGCAAGCGUUAAUCGGAAUUACUGGGC
rnacentral:rRNA from 1 species